GUGCCAGACUCCUACGGGAGGCAGCAGUGGGGGAUAUUGCACAAUGGGGGGAACCCUGAUGCAGCGACGCCGCGUGGGCGAUGGAGUGCUUCGGCAUGUAAAGCCCUAUCAGCAGGGAAGAAAAUGACGGUACCUGACUAAGAAGCCCCGGCUAAAUACGUGCCAGCAGCCGCGGUAAUACGUAUGGGGCAAGCGUUAUCCGGAUUUACUGGGUGUAAAGGGAGCGUAGACGGCAAUACAAGUCGGAAGUGAAAUACCCGGGCUCAACCUGGGAACUGCUUUGGAAACUGUAUGGCUAGAGUGCUGGAGAGGUAAGCGGAAUUCCUAGUGUAGCGGUGAAAUGCGUAGAUAUUAGGAGGAACACCAGUGGCGAAGGCGGCUUACUGGACAGUAACUGACGUUGAGGCUCGAAAGCGUGGGGAGCAAACAGGAUUAGAUACCCCCGUAGAU
rnacentral:rRNA from 1 species